UUUAACAGUAUCCAAUAUCCCAAUGUGACGGUAAAAUUGUCCCAAUGUGAUGGUAAAAAUGUCUGGUUCCCCUUCAGUCGAUUCACUCAGUACAACACAUAUAGUAUGGGAUAUCACUGCCCCUGCGUGACCUGACUGAAGACACCUCUACUCAUGCCUUUUAAGCAGAUGAUCUCUGGUGACGUACGUGAGGCCCCGCCUGCAGAUAUAUACAUCCUUCACCACAGUCAACCAUCUGUUCUUAUGCUGUUCACCUUACUAAGGACACCUCUGCUGAGUCAGGCUAGCUAGCUACAGCUAGUUAGCUCAGUUCUUUGGUAAGCUACUCCCAGCUGGAAGUUAGCUUAACAGCCCCUGUUGGUGAUAGCCACUGGCUACCCACAAGGCGCUAAUUUCAUGUGCGUUUCAUCCACGGGCUUUGUAUCUCGGUAUGAGCACCAACCCUAAACAGGUGAAGAAGAAGUUUUCAACAAACCACUGACUACCCACAUCACAGUGCCUGGCUAUGGACAGUAUUUGAAUUUGGAUGAAGUCGAAAAGGCUGGUUUGGUCAAUCCUGGAGCUAUCCCUGUUAGUUUAUCUGGCCCAAUCCCACAACCAUUGCGUGGGUGGCACUACAGCCCUCCCAUCCAAGCACUGCAGGUUCUUCACAUCUUAGCUGGAGAAGAUAUGCUGGGCACAGGCAGGCAUCGCCCAUGCUCUGAGCUCCAUCACCAUGCUUCAGACAUAUCAAGCCAUGUGUCUGGUGGAGCUUGGGAAACCGAUGCCCCCUGACAGUCCACUGGCACCACUUCUCAAUGAGGUCAGAGUUGCCACGGAUUACAUUCUCCACGUGACAGUGGUGGUGCAGAGACACCUGUGGCUGACUCUCUCUGAUGUUCCGGAUAGGGACAGGGCUGUUUAUUUGAACGAGCCAUUGUGUGCUGAGGGUUUAUUUGGGCAGUCAGUCGACACUAUUUAGGUGAAGUUUGAGCUGAGGAAGAAGCAGACAGAGGCUCUGUGCAGCAUAAUCUCCAUACAUGAUGUGAAACCCAAGCAGCAACCCGGUCAAACUCUGCACUCCUCAGCUUGAAGCAAGGCUCCGCCACCAGGCUUCCAGAGGGGCUCAGCUCCUAGGAGGAGAAACCACACUCCUCCUAGCUCUGGGACUGAGCGGAGAGGGACUCCAGCAGCAGGGAGACACUGCUGCCCCUCAUCUGUUGCCACCCAAGAGGCCACCUACAUGUUCACUUCCACUUCUGUUCAGGGGUCCAGUCCCAAAAGGUAUUGCACUCCCCUAACACAGUCUCUCAAGCACAAACCUCCCCCAUAAACACAAAUGCACUUUUGUUGCCUCAGGUUGUAGCCCAGUUGCGUUAAAUGUUUCUCAGGUGGCCACAGCAAGUGUUCCCAAUGUUUGUCACUUUCUCAGUGCCCCAAUAAAGUUCUUUCAGUUCAUUGUAUGAAUAUCAUGAAUGUUCAACUGUUGAAUCCAGUAAAAGGUGCAUUUUGUACUCAAAACACUGCAAAUCAAACAAAUCGGGGCAGACUGGUGAUGUCAUUUCCUACACCAGAGGGUGACAGCCCCUCCCAUACAGUGCUGCAGGUCAGUCGGCUAACAGUUCACCUCCCUCAAUGGCGUGCAUGCGCAACUUCUCAGUGGGUAGACAGAACCGUUGCCAUGGGUUACCAGUUACAGUUCCGGGUCAGACCGCCCCAUUUCCUCUCUGUAAUAAAUACAGUUGUAGGAGAAGAGGCAGCAGUGGUAAUGAGGGAGGAAAUAAACACUCUGUUGGACAGAAUGCAAUAAGCAUGGUUUCCGCUUCAGGGAUGAACAAAGCUGAAUCUGACUGGUCAAACGUAGAGUCAAUCUGUCCAAUCAGAGGGCACAUGGUUCUGUUGCGUUCAUCCCCCCUGCAGGUCCUGGAAGAUCUAGUCGAUUUUUUAAGAUGGACGACAGUGUGGGUCUCCUGCAACCCAGAUACUGAAGGAGGCCAAAGACUACAGCUCCAUCCCAAAAGUUCAGAGGGCCAUGGUACUGUAAUGAAAUGAGUGUUAUCAGGGUCUAGGAUGCCACAACUUUGAUCCAGAAGGCCAGAGGCCACAGAGACAAAGGCUUGCCCCUGCACCAGAUGAAGACCACCUGUGAACUAUCGAGUCACCCAACCACAUCAAACUACAUAUUUGCCGUAUUAAAUUGCCCUCUGUAUAGCUGUUCAUUUAUAUUUGUGACUUGUAAUCCAAUGUUCUAUAUAUAGUUAUUCUUGAGACAAAUAAAU